CCCUGGGAUCUCGAAUAUCAAGUGCUUUAGGCACUUAAACAUGUACAUAUUUCUGAUAUAUCCACAGGCUAUACGAAAUGAAAGGAUUUAUAGGAUCAGAAAGAAAGGGAAGGCACGAUUGGAGCAUAUCUGAGAGAAUGUUAAUAGCCCUGAGGCAUUGCUCGCAGACAAUCCACAAUUCACGAUAGCAAGGCCUACAGCAAAGCAUAUCUUUAAUCUUGAAUAUCUUUAAUGUGUUAUUAAAUUCGAUAUGAAAAUUAAAUGCAUUCAAUUAA